rnacentral:tRNA from 1 species
UCGUGGCGGGCGGUGGAGAACGCGACGUCGGGGCUGUCGCGAUGUGUCAGCACGAGGUGCACCCCGCCGAUCGCCUCGGCGGCGGCGAC